CUUAUUCUCUUCCUCUGAACCCCUAUUAUGAUUCUUCUAUUAUUUAUGAUGUUGGUAGGGGCGAUGAAGAAAUAAUGCAGAACAAGAGGCGCAUGAAUGUACAGACAUGUUGGAAAAGGUUUCGGCGAAGUUUGAGUAUCAAAAAUUUGGAGCUAAGGAGCACGUUGGUGCUUAAAUAUGGGCAGAAUGGAAUUGGAAUUGGAAUUGGAAUUGGAAUUGAAGUUUGCCAAGGCGGCAGAGCACUGUUACGCAUACAUGAAUUCGUAGCGGUUUGGUUUUGGAAGCACAAUUAGUUUUGAACACAAUUAUUUUGUUUAGGGUUUUCUACCUCUAUAAAUAGUCCAUAAAAAUAAUUAUUAUGGGAAAAAUAUAGGAGGAGAUAUACAGGGCAUCAAAUAGAAAGUCGUCAAUACUUUUUAGUGGUCUUUUCUUCUUCUUGUUUUCUUAGAGAAUAGUUGCUAAAUCCCUUGUUUAGGGGCUAUAGCAACGGAUCGAAUGUUGAUUACU